AAAUGAAUAGACGGGGGCCCGCACAAGCAGUGGAGUAUGUGGUUUAAUUCGAUGCAACGCGAAGAACCUUACCAGGUCUUGACAUCCGACUAACGGAGCAGAAAUGCACUGGUGCCCGCAAGGGAAAGUCGAGACAGGUGGUGCAUGGUUGUCGUCAGCUCGUGUCGUGAGAUGUUGGGUUAAGUCCCGCAACGAGCGCAACCCUUGUCAUUAGUUGCUACGGGAAGAGCACUCUAAUGAGACUGCCGUUGACAAAACGGAGGAAGGUGGGGAUGACGUCAAAUCAUCAUGCCCCUUAUGAUCUGGGCUACACACGUACUACAAUGGCCGUUACAGAGGGCAGCGAAGCCGCGAGGCGGAGCAAAUCCCGAAAGGCGGUCCCAGUUCAGAUUGCAGGCUGCAACUCGCCUGCAUGAAGGCGGAAUUGCUAGUAAUCGCGAAUCAGCAUGUCGCGGUGAAUACGUUCCCGGGCCUUGUACACACCGCCCGU
rnacentral:rRNA from 1 species